rnacentral:tRNA from 1 species
GGAAGGUAGCCGGAUACGGUUGUGGCCGGGCCGCACUGCUAAGGCGGUUUCCCUUCGGGGAAUGAGGGUUCGAAUCCCUUGCCUUCCG